GAACCAGUACCGUGAGGGAAAGGCGAAAAGAACCCCGGCGAGGGGAGUGAAAAAGAACCUGAAACCGUGUACGUACAAGCAGUGGGAGCCCCACCACUAAGCCAGUGGUGAACUCCACAUCCGCAUCCUUUGCUGAGGAUACGGUUAACGGAGCGAAAGCGACGUUCAACCGCAAAACAAGCAGAGGGGGCUUAGUGGUGGGGUGACUGCGUACCUUUUGUAUAAUGGGUCAGCGACUUAUAUUCUGUAGCAAGGUUAACCGAAUAGGGGAGCCGGAGGGAAACCGAGUCUUAAUUGGGCGUUAAGUUGCAGGGUAUAGACCCGAAACCCGGUGAUCUAGCCAUGGGC
rnacentral:rRNA from 1 species